GAUGAAGAACGCAGCGAAAUGCGAUAAGUAAUGUGAAUUGCAGAGUUCAGUGAAUCAUCGAAUCUUUGAACGCACAUUGCGCCAGUUAGUAGUCUGGCGGGCAUGCCUGUCUGAGCGUCAUUUCAACCCUCAUGCCCCUAGGGCGUGGUGUUGGGGAUCGGCCAAAGCCCGCGAGGGACGGCCGGCCCCUAAAUCUAGUGGCGGACCCGUCGUGGCCUCCUCUGCGAAGUAGUGAUAUUCCGCAUCGGAGAGCGAUGAGCCCCUGCCGUUAAACCCCCAACUUUCCAAGGUUGACCUCAGAUCAGGUAGGAAUACCCGCUGAACUUAAGCAUAUCAAUAAGCGGAGGA
rnacentral:misc_RNA from 1 species